rnacentral:tRNA from 1 species
UCGUGGUGUAGUGGUCAGCACGCUGGGCGCGUAUUCCAGAGGUCCGUGGUUCGAGUCCCGGCGA